CGGAGGGAUCUUGCUGAGACGCGCCCCAGGCGCACCCAGAAACCCUCUGUGAACUUAUACCUUUACUGUUGCCUCGGCGCAUGCCGGCCCCCCCGGGGGCCCCUCGGAGACGAGGAGCAGGCACGCCGGCGGCCAAGUUAACUCUUGUUUUUACACUGAAACUCUGAGAAAAAAACACAAAUGAAUCAAAACUUUCAACAACGGAUCUCUUGGUUCUGGCAUCGAUGAAGAACGCAGCGAAAUGCGAUAAGUAAUGUGAAUUGCAGAAUUCAGUGAAUCAUCGAAUCUUUGAACGCACAUUGCGCCCUCUGGUAUUCCGGAGGGCAUGCCUGUUCGAGCGUCAUUUCAACCCUCAAGCAUUGCUUGGUGUUGGGGCACUGCUUUUUUAACGAAAAGCAGGCCCUGAAAUCUAGUGGCGAGCUCGCCAGGACCCCGAGCGCAGUAGUUAAACCCUCGCUCUGGAAGGCCCUGGCGGUGCCCUGCCGUUAAACCCCCAACUUCUGAAAAUUUGACCUCGGAUCAGGUAGGAAUACCCGCUGACUUUAAGCAUAUAU
rnacentral:sRNA from 1 species